CCUACGGGAGGCAGCAGUGAGGAAUAUUGGUCAAUGGACGAGAGUCUGAACCAGCCAAGUAGCGUGAAGGAUGACUGCCCUAUGGGUUGUAAACUUCUUUUAUAUGGGAAUAAAAUGUUCCACGUGUGGGAUUUUGUAUGUACCAUAGGAAUAAGGAUCGGCUAACUCCGUGCCAGCAGCCGCGGUAAUACGGAGGAUCCGAGCGUUAUCCGGAUUUAUUGGGUUUAAAGGGAGCGUAGGUGGAUUGUUAAGUCAGUUGUGAAAGUUUGCGGCUCAACCGCAAAAUUGCAGUUGAAACUGGCAGUCUUGAGUACAGUAGAGGUGGGCGGAAUUCGUGGUGUAGCGGUGAAAUGCUUAGAUAUCACGAAGAACUCCGAUUGCGAAGGCAGUUCACUGGACUGCAACUGACACUGAGGCUCGAAAGUGUGGGUAUCAAACAGGAUUAGAUACCCUUGUAGUC
rnacentral:rRNA from 1 species